AAUGAAGCGCCUGGUUGAAAGGGCUAUUUUGAUAGAAUAGAUUAUGUGUAAAAAACACCUUCAUUA
rnacentral:tRNA from 2 species